CGGGGUGUAGCGCAGGUGGUAGCGCGCGACGUUCGGGACGUCGAGGCCGCAGGUUCAAGUCCUGCCACCCCGACCA
rnacentral:tRNA from 1 species